UGGCUCAGCAGUUAAGAGCACUGGCUAUUCUUCCAGAGGACCUGGGUUCAAUUCCCAG
rfam:Cricetulus griseus cell line CHO-K1, whole genome shotgun sequence.